AUCAUAUUAAUAAAGAAAAUCCAUCAUACUUGCCACCAGAUGUGGAUGUGUUUGGUUAAAUUGAAUAAAUCCCCGCAGGAAUUAAGAUCCUGCGGGGAUUUUUGA
rnacentral:sRNA from 1 species